AACAUUACCUGACAGGGGAGAUACCAUGAUCACAAAUGUGGUUUUUUUCCAGGGCGAGGCUUAUUCAUUGCAUUCCAGAUGUGCUGACCCCAAUGAUUUUCCGAAAUGUGGGAAACUCGACUGCAUAAUUUGUGGUAGUGGGGGACUGCAUUCGCUCUCUCCCCUG
ensembl:snRNA U1 U1 spliceosomal RNA